UGUUCCUACGGGGCGCAGCAGUGAGGAAUAUUGGCCAAUGGGCGAGAGCCUGAACCAGCCAAGUCGCGUGAAGGAUGACGGCCCUAUGGGUUGUAAACUUCUUUUGUCAGGGAGCAAUUGAGUCCACGUGUGGGCUUAGCGAGAGUACCUGAAGAAAAAGCAUCGGCUAACUCCGUGCCAGCAGCGGCGGUAAUACGGAGGAUGCGAGCGUUAUCCGGAUUUAUUGGGUUUAAAGGGUGCGUAGGCGGAAUAUCAAGUCAGCGGUAAAAAUACAGGGCUCAACUCCGUCGUGUAGUUGACA
rnacentral:rRNA from 1 species